GGACCCGCACAAGUAGUGGAGCAUGUGGUUUAAUUCGAAGAUACGCGCAGAACCUUACCAACACUUGACAUGUUCGUCGCGACUCUAAGAGAUUAGAGUUUUCGGUUCGGCCGGACGAAACACAGGUGCUGCAUGGCUGUCGUCAGCUCGUGUCGUGAGAUGUUGGGUUAAGUCCCGCAACGAGCGCAACCCUCACUUUUAGUUGCCAUCAUUAAGUUGGGCACUCUGAAAGAACUGCCAGUGAUAAGCUGGAGGAAGGUGGGGAUGACGCAGACGUCAUGGCCCUUACGUGUUGGGCUACACACGUGCUACAAUGGUCGGUACAGAAAGCAGCCACUAUGCGAAUAGGAG
rnacentral:rRNA from 1 species